AUACGGAGGGUGCAAGCGUUAUCCGGAAUCAUUGGGUUUAAAGGGUCCGCAGGCGGUCAAUUAAGUCAGAGGUGAAAGCCCAUCGCUCAACGAUGGAACUGCCUUUGAUACUGGUUGACUUGAGUUAUACGGAAGUAGAUAGAAUAAGUAGUGUAGCGGUGAAAUGCAUAGAUAUUACUUAGAAUACCGAUUGCGAAGGCAGUCUACUACGUAUAUACUGACGCUGAGGGACGAAAGCGUGGGGAGCGAGCAGGAUUAGAAACCCCAGUAGUCC
rnacentral:rRNA from 1 species